ACGCUCGACACCUACGGGAGGCAGCAGUUGGGAAUAUUGGACAAUGGAGGAAACUCUGAUCCAGUGACGCCGCGUGAAGGAAGAAGGUCUUCGGAUUGUAAACUUAUUUUGUCAGGGAAGAAAAAAUGACUGUACCUGAAGAAAAGCACCGGCUAACUACGUGCCAGUAGCCGCGGUAAUCUGAGCGGGCUGGCAAGGC
rnacentral:rRNA from 1 species